AAAACGUCCGUCGUGAAAAGGGAAACAACCCAGACCGUCAGCUAAGGUCCCAAAGUUAUGGUUAAGUGGGAAACGAUGUGGGAAGGCUUAGACAGCUAGGAGGUUGGCUUAGAAGCAGCCACCCUUUAAAGAAAGCGUAAUAGCUCACUAGUCGAGUCGGCCUGCGCGGAAGAUGUAACGGGGCUCAAACCAUACACCGAAGCUACGGGUUCAACGUAAGUUGAGCGGUAGAGGAGCGUUCUGUAAGCCUGUGAAGGUCAAUUGAGAAGUUGGCUGGAGGUAUCAGAAGUGCGAAUGCUGACAUGAGUAACGACAAUGGGAGUGAAAAACUCCCACGCCGAAAGACCAAGGUUUCCUGCGCAACGUUAAUCGACGCAGGGUUAGUCGGUUCCUAAGGCGAGGCAGAAAUGCGUAGUCGAUGGCAAACAGGUUAAUAUUCCUGUACUUCUAGUUACUGCGAUGGAGGGACGCAGAAGGCUAGGCCAGCUUGGCGUUGGUUGUCCAAGUUUAAGGUGGUAGGCUUAAAUCUUAGGUAAAUCCGGGAUUUUUUAAGGCCGAGAGCUGAUGACGAGUUAUCUUUUAGAUGACGAAGUGGUUGAUGCCAUGCUUCCAGGAAAGCUUCUAAGCUUCAGGUAACUAGGAACCGUACCCCAAACCGACACAGGUGGUUGGGUAGAGAAUACCAAGGCGCUUGAGAGAACUCGGGUGAAGGAACUAGGCAAAAUGGCACCGUAACUUCGGGAGAAGGUGCGCCGGUGAGGGUGAAGCAUUUACUGCGUAAGCCCAUGCCGGUCGAAGAUACCAGGCCGCUGCGACUGUUUAUUAAAAACACAGCACUCUGCAAACACGAAAGUGGACGUAUAGGGUGUGACGCCUGCCCGGUGCCGGAAGGUUAAUUGAUGGGGUUAGCUAACGCGAAGCUCUUGAUCGAAGCCCCGGUAAACGGCGGCCGUAACAAUAACGGUCCUAAGGUAGCGAAAUUCCUUGUCGGGUAAGUUCCGACCUGCACGAAUGGCGUAACGAUGGCGGCGCUGUCUCCACCCGAGACUCAGUGAAAUUGAAAUCGCUGUGAAGAUGCAGUGUAUCCGCGGCUAGACGGAAAGACCCCGUGAACCUUUACUAUAGCUUUGCACUGGACUUUGAAUUUGCUUGUGUAGGAUAGGUGGGAGGCUUUGAAGCGUGAACGCUAGUUUGCGUGGAGCCAAUCUUGAAAUACCACCCUGGCAACUUUGAGGUUCUAACUCUGGUCCGUUAUCCGGAUCGAGGACAGUGUAUGGUGGGUAGUUUGACUGGGGCGGUCUCCUCCUC
rnacentral:rRNA from 1 species